ensembl:snoRNA SNORD116 Small nucleolar RNA SNORD116
GGUCAUCGAUGAUGACUCCCUACAAAUGCAUUCCUUGGAGAUCUGAACAAAAUGAGUGACAAUCCCUACCGUGUCCUCAUCGGAACUGAGGUCC